CAAACCAAAGCUGGCGACCGGCGCACGGGUGAGUAACACGUAUCCAACCUGCCUCAUACUCGGGGAUAGCCUUUCGAAAGAAAGAUUAAUAUCCGAUAGCAUAUAUUUCCCGCAUGGGUUUUAUAUUAAAGAAAUUCGGUAUGAGAUGGGGAUGCGUUCCAUUAGUUUGUUGGGGGGGUAACGGCCCACCAAGACUACGAUGGAUAGGGGUUCUGAGAGGAAGGUCCCCCAUAUUGGAACUGAGACACGGUCCAA
rnacentral:rRNA from 1 species